rnacentral:rRNA from 1 species
UACAGAGGUGGCAAGCGUUGUUCGGAAUUACUGGGCGUAAAGGGCGCGUAGGCGGCCCGCUAAGUCGAACGUGAAAUCCCCGAGCUCAACUCGGGAACUGCGUCCGAUACUGGCGGGCUUGAAUCCGGAGAGGGAUGCGGAAUUCCAGGUGUAGCGGUGAAAUGCGUAGAUAUCUGGAGGAACACCGGUGGCGAAGGCGGCAUCCUGGACCGGCAUUGACGCUGAGGCGCGAAAGCGUGGGAGCAA